rnacentral:tRNA from 1 species
GUCUCGGUAGUAUAAGGGAUAGAGCACGGUGCCCGGAAAGCACGAACUAUUGGUUCGAGUCCCGUCCGAGACU